UCCGGUUCUAGCAGAGCCAACAUCUGAGAAAGAUAUAUGCCAGGUCAGACAGAUAGCUAACCUGCCUUUCAGAAAGUUCCUCCUCCUGGCUGUUUCAUUAGUUUGUGAGCUAAGAUUUUAUUAAAUGAAGACAUGAUGGAUGCACAGAUUAUAAAACACUUUGUAGUGAGAGGUCUAUCCAGUCUGCACUUCAAGGUCUCUUUCCUUUUAGCAUGAUGGGUUAUUUGUCACGUACCCAUAAAGUAGUCCACCAUAAAACACUUUUCAUUAGCAAUGGAGAAGAUUGAGAGGGGACCUCAUCAAUGUCCAUAAAUAUCUGAAGGGAAGAUGUCAAGAGGCUGGAGCCAGGCUCUCCUUGCUGAUGCCAAGCAACAGGACAAGAGGCAACAGGCAGAAACUGAUGCACAGGAAAUUUCACCUGAACAUGAGGAAGAACUUCUUUACUGUGUGGGUGACCAUGCACUGGAACAGAUUGUCCAGAGAGGGGGUGGAAGUCUCCCUCACUGGAGAUAUUCAAGAACUGUCUGGACACAAUUCUGUGCCAUGUGCUCUAGGAUGGCUCUGCUUCAGCAGGGAGGUUGGACCAGAUGCCCCACUACGGUCUCUUCCAACCUGACCCGUUCUGUGAUUCUGUGGUUCUGUGUCUCCCUUAGGUUACCAUUUCCAAUUUGUUCCCUGGUUGUCAGGUAGAGACUCUCCUUUCCCACUUAUUAUUUGCACAGAUGGCAAGUGCCCACACUGGACAGUGAGACAUGUUCAGUAUUCAUUUUUGGUGAGAGAAUUAUUUUCUUUAGUUUUACCUUCAGAACCAUAGGCCAUUUCCAAAUCCCAGGGAGCCUGGCAGAAGCUGGAUAAAGUGAGAUCUGCCUUCUGACUGUCUCUCUGACCCUAUGACACAGCAACAUCCAAGUGCCACAGCAGUGCAGGUCAAGUGGCUUUAGCGGCCAACUUACAGGUACAGUUUCCCCAGAUGCACCAGGAAAACAGCAAACACAAUGUGUUUCUGGUUGUGUGACCAGAAAUAGAUUUUUUCCAUAGGCCAAUUUAGGCUUUUUUGACUGUUUCAAG